ACCAGCAACUCUAUCACCCUGCAACUCAGAACAGGCAGCCCACUGAAGCUCAGCAGGUGUGAGUCUGGUCAGUACCUGGAUGGGAGACCUCCUGGGAAAGCUAAGGCUGCUGCUU
rnacentral:rRNA from 1 species